rnacentral:piRNA from 1 species
GGAAACAGAGCUGUGCCCAAUUCCAC